rnacentral:rRNA from 1 species
GGAGUCUGGUCCGUGUCUCAGUACCAGUGUGGGGGACCUUCCUCUCAGAACCCCUAAGGAUCGUCGGCUCGGUGGGCCGUUACCCCGCCGACUGCCUAAUCCUACGCAUCCCCAUCCCAUAGCGAUGAAUCUUUGCUCCCCGUCAGAGGCCCUCAAGGGAGAACAUCAGGUAUUAAUCCGACUUUCGCCGGGCUGUCCCUGACUAUGGGGCAGGUUGGAUACGCGUUACUCACCCGUGCGCCGGUCGCCAUCAAACUUAGCAAGCUAAGUUCAUGAUGCCCCUCGACUUGCAUGUGUUAAGCCUGUAGCUAGCGUUCAUC